rnacentral:rRNA from 1 species
UACGGGGGGAGCAAGCGUUGUUCGGAUUUACUGGGCGUAAAGGGCGCGUAGGCGGCCACCGCAAGUCGGUUGUGAAAUCUCCGGGCUUAACCCGGAAAGGUCAAUCGAUACUGCGGGGCUAGAGUGCAGAAGGGGCAACUGGAAUUCCUGGUGUAGCGGUGAAAUGCGCAGAUAUCAGGAGGAACACCGGUGGCGAAGGCGGGUCUCUGGGCCGUAACUGACGCUGAGGAGCGAAAGCAUGGGGAGCGAACAGG